rnacentral:misc_RNA from 1 species
GCAAAGCUGACUCGGAAGUCAACACAAAAGGAAAAAGAAAUCCCUUUCCUUUCGCAAAGCAACCGAAAGGCAAAGCAAAGCAAAGAAAAGAAAAGAAUUCUCAAUUUUCGGACACUUAAGUUUCUUUCCUUUUCUUCUUUCUCAAAAAAAACAUACUGACCGACUCAAAAUUAUUUCCAGAUAGAAACAAACGAAGGAUGGCUAGUGUGUCCAAAGAGACGCAGAUGUCGAUAGAAGCGUCGUCGAUGUUUCCAGGGUUUCGGUUUUCGCCGACGGAUGCAGAGUUGAUUUCCUUUUACCUCAAGAAGAAGAUGGAGGGAGCUGAGAAAUGCGUAGAGGUGAUUUCCGAGGUUGAAAUUUGCAAAUACGAGCCCUGGGAUUUGCCAGCCAAAUCUGUCAUCCAGUCGGAGAAUGAAUGGUUCUUCUUUUCUGCUCGUGGAAGAAAAUACCCAAAUGGUUCACAAAGUAGGAGGGCAACGGAACUCGGUUACUGGAAGGCAACUGGGAAAGAACGAAAUGUUAAGUCUGGCUCUCUUGUAAUUGGUACGAAGAGAACUCUUGUGUUCCAUGUUGGUCGUGCACCCAAAGGGGAAAGGACAGAAUGGAUUAUGCAUGAAUACUGCAUGGAUGGGAAAUCCCAGGAUUCUCUUGUUGUUUGCCGCCUUCGUAGGAAUGUUGAAUUUCGUCCAAAUGACAAUUCAAACCGGACUUCUCUUAAUAGAAGGCAAUUAUCAGUUUUUGAAGGUGGUGGUGAUAGGGUGGGCACAUCUGAAGGGGAGAGGACAGCUGAAUGCUCAAGAAAGUGUAGUAGCAGUUACGACUCUCAUUCUAUUGAGCAAUUGGAUUCUGCAUCUGAAUCUGAGCAGAAAUUAUCAAAUGAGGCUCCUUUGGCAGAAUCUUCUAGCCAACAGCAGGAGGAUUCUGAUAAUCAAGAUGAUUUUUAUGCUGAUAUACUGAAAGAUGAUAUAGUUAAACUGGAUGAAACUUCAUUGUCUGCCACUCCGGCGUUUCCAGUGAUUGCCAGAAAGCCUGAGGCUCAGACAGAAGCUCAACAGCCUGGGGAAUUAAUUGUUUCGCAAGCACUUCAUUUACAGGCGAUUCCUUUCCAACGAAAUGAAACUUCAUUUUCUGUUACUCCAGAGUUCCCAAUGAUUACCAGUAAGAGUGAGGCUCAGACAGAAGCUCAACAGCC